rnacentral:rRNA from 1 species
UACAGAUGGGGGAGCAUUGGGAUUCUUAAAUAGGAUGCGUGUUCAGGUGGAUAUAUUGUAACCCGAAAAAUCCACAGUAUUUACUUUGAAAAAAUGAACUUAACUGUGGAUAGAUAACUUAACUUGAGUUUGAAAAAAUUAAGGAACUUAUUCUAGAGGAAUAUAGAAGUUUGAGGAAUAUCUGAAAGAGGGAUAAAAAUCCUAAGAAAUCAGAUGGAAUAAUAUUGGGCGAACAGCAUCAUUCUAUAUAUAUCCUGACACUGAUGCACUAAAGUGUAGGUAGCAAAAGGG